UAAGGUCCUCUGAUGCCUAAGUUAGUUCGAUUGAAUCUAAGAGAAACAAUAGCUAAGAAAGGGUACGGAGAUGUAUGUAUGGUGAGAACCGGGCGGCUGGAGCCAUGUGUGGUGGCCGGAGCCAUGUAUGUAAAAUAUGGAGGGAGGAGAGAUGUGUGGACGAUGGCGAUGAUGGCGUCGCUUGCGGCUAUGGAGAGAGAGAGAUGGAGAGUUUCGGGUAUUUUCUCAGGCCGUCGCUUGCGGCUUGCGG
rnacentral:lncRNA from 1 species